UUGCUCUCCCCUCACAAACCCUAAUGAAACCAAACUAGUGAUCUUGAAAAGAGCUUAAAGCUAACUCUUCGAUCCAAAAACCCAAUCUGAAAAAACCCCCGUAUUUUGCCUUAGUUUUAGUGGCUGGAGGUCGGAUUUCGACCCUGUCUCAUAUCCGGCCGACCCCCGGAUAUCAAUCUAAUCUAUCCUAGUGGUUUUACAGCCCGAUCCUACCC
rnacentral:lncRNA from 1 species